AUUGAACGCUGGCGGCAGGCCUAACACAUGCAAGUCGAGCGGAUGAAGGGAGCUUGCUCCUGGAUUCAGCGGCGGACGGGUGAGUAAUGCCUAGGAAUCUGCCUGGUAGUGGGGGAUAACGUCCGGAAACGGGCGCUAAUACCGCAUACGUCCUGAGGGAGAAAGUGGGGGAUCUUCGGACCUCACGCUAUCAGAUGAGCCUAGGUCGGAUUAGCUAGUUGGUGGGGUAAAGGCCUACCAAGGCGACGAUCCGUAACUGGUCUGAGAGGAUGAUCAGUCAAACCGGGAAGGAGAAACGGGCCCGACCCCCAAGGGAGGGAGGAGGGGGGAAAAUUUGGAAAAGGGGGAAAGGCCGAAGCCGCCCAUGCGCGUGGGGGAAGAAGGGCCUUGGGUUGGAAAACCCUUUUAAUUGGGAAGAAAAGGAAUUAAAUUAAUCCCUUGCUUUUUGACGGUUCCCAACAAAAAAGCCACGGGUAACUUUGGG
rnacentral:rRNA from 1 species